UUUAUAAAGAAGCUAACCUGCGAACAGAGGCUAUAGCUAAAUGAAGAUACCAGCUUUGUGGAGGACAUAUUUGUUUUUGCCCUGCUAAUUGUUGCUAACUGUUAGCAGCUGCUAGCUUCUCAAUUCUACAACCGUUAAGUUACUCCAUUUCGGACAGUGGGACAGUAACCGCCACUUCCGGUCGGAAAAGCUACACUGGACAGUUUACAGUAGGACCAUUAAGACUCUUUGCCAAGGACAGACUGUCUGCUAAGAUGGCGGGGACCACUGCUUCACCAGUGACAUGGUGAGUGUGGUUGUCAUCAGCACUUCAGCGCUGACGGUCUCUCGUCUGAGCAGGGCGGGGAAGCACUAUGCGCCAGAGAUGACAGCAAGAGACUCUCACUCUGAGCUGAAAUGCAAAGAGUGCUUAUAACUUUGAGUUGUUUUAACAAGAUGCAAGGAAGAAAAUGUGGCAUAAUUUGGGGGACAACAGGAGAGAGGAACAGGGCAGAAGUGGACAGGUCGCCAGCAAGAAAAAGAAGUGGAAAUAUAUGGAAGCAAUGUCCUGCCUGAAAUCUUCCAUGACAAAGGGAAGGUAAUGUAAGCCUUUCAAGAAAUGCCAUGAUGCUAAAUGCAAGGGCAGAUAUGUUGGGCACAUGUGCACAGGCAUGGGCAAUGUGUCUUUGUAUUUUGUCAUGUACAGCAAUUUUUUUGUGCCAAAAAAUAUAACA